ACACUCAUUGAGUGGGGUGAUCCACAGGGAGGAGCUCAAACCUCCAAAGUGUCUGGCCAGCGGCAGGACAUUAGCACGGCAAGGGAGGGGUGUGGCACUGACAUCACACAGGCCUUUUGGAGGAACUCAGCCUAUUGGUCAAAGGUAGUGAGGAGGUGGUGACCUCACAGAGAGAUGCUGACAUCAGCCAGGCAGAACAGGGGCGAGGGGCCAGGGAAAUCUCGGACACCCCUGUGGCUUUGCUUCAGCAAGUCUCCUUCUCGAGGUCUCUCUUUGAGGACUGAAAGAGUAUUAGGGUUCACGUACGUGAGCGCCAGGAGGAACCUCUUUCAAGUCUUCUCCUUUCCUUUUAUUGAUUUUACUAGAAAAGAGAUGUCCCGGUUUAGAAGGUAAGAGCCUCCUUAGGCCUGAAACCUCUUCAGUCUGAUCCAGCUGGUGACAGUUGAAUUCUAGGUGUAGAAAACACAAGCUUAAGAGGCAGUAUUUUAUUCCGCACCUAGAAUUUUGUCCCUUACAAUAAUUGGGGACAUUAGGGUUUGUCCUUUUUGUUUCACCUUUUCCUCCAUCCCUCCCUCCUUUCUCUUCUUCUCUUGCUUCUUUUGUCCUUUCUCCUGUUCCCCUCCCAACACCAGGAGGCGCAUGUGUGUGUGUGUGUGUGAACUCCACUGACCUUCCUUCA